AAACUGGUUGAAACAAAUUAAGCUAGACUGGGCUGCAGUUUAUAGUUGUCGGUCAGAGUGUGAUAAGGUCAUUCGCAGUUUUAGUAAUGUUUUCAAAGAGGAGUUGGGUCUCAUCAGAAACACAAAGGCGACCCUACAUGUGGAUAAGGAGGCACAACCCAAGUUUUUCAAAGCUCGCCCGUUGCCCUACGCCUUGAAAGACAAAGUGGAGCACGAGUUGGAACGGCUAGUUAACGAUGGAGUAAUUGAACCUGUGCAGUUCUCAGAGUGGGCGGCGCCAAUAGUCCCGAUAGUUAAGGGAGACAAAUCCAUACGUAUUUGUGGGGACUACAAGAUGACUGUGAACCGCGUGUCUAGAGUGGACAGUUACCCGAUACCGAAGGUUGAGGAUUUAUUAGCAAAUUUGUCAGGAGAGGAAGACUUUUUCAAAAUUAGACCUGUCACAUGCUUAUUCACAACUACCACUGGAAGAGGAAUCAAAAAAAUAUGUAACGAUAAAUACACAUAAGGGGUUAUUCGUAUAUAAUCGCUUACCAUACGGAGUCUCCUCGGCGCCAGGAAUAUUCCAGAGAGUUAUGGAGAACUUACUGCAAGGUAUCCCUCACGUGGUGGUGUACUUGGAUGAUGUAUUAGUGACAGGGAAGACGGAAAGGGAACAUCUGAGUAACCUGACAGAAGUUUUGAGGCGUAUGGAUGACGCGGGGGUGAAACUGAAGUUAAAGAAGUGUGUGUUUCAGGCACCAGAAGUAACAUAUUUAGGACAUAAAAUUAAUGCGGAAGGGCUGCACCCGUCCGAGGACAAGGUUCAAGCUGUUAUAAAGGCACCCACACCAAGCAACAUCACUGAACUAAAGGCGUAUUUGGGGCUUGUUAAUUAUUAUGGCAGAUACAUUCCUAAUCUUUCCACAGUAUUUGCUCCCUUGUACAGAUUACUGCAACGGGACGUGGAAUGGCAAUGGGGACCAGAACAGCAGCGUGCCCUUGCCACAUCGAAACAACUGUUGGCGAGCUCCAAGGUGUUGGUGCAUUAUGACAGCAGCAAGCCCCUCCUGCUCACCUGUGACGCGUCACCAUACGGAUUGGGAGCAGUCCUUGCACACCGUUUGGAGUCUGGAGAGGAGAAACCGAUUGCUUUCGCAUCCCGAUCCCUGAGCAUAGCUGAACGCAAGUAUGCUCAGGUAGAGAAAGAAGGUUUGGCAAUAAUAUUUGGUGUUAAGAAAUUUCAUAAUUACUUGUAUGGCCGCCAUUUUGAGAUCAUUUCAGACCAUCAGCCACUUAAAAGUCUGUUUAAUGAAACUCGCCCAGUGCCUGUGAUGGCAUCAAGUCGUAUCCAACGCUGGGCGCUAACACUAUCGGCGUAUGAAUACACUAUCACCCACAAACCAGGGAAAAAUAUAGUACAUGCUGAUGGGUUGAGUCGCCUUCCUCUCCUGAAUUCCCCAAGGUGACUCCAGUCCCCGGUGAUGUGGUAUGCGUGUUGGAGAGACUAGACCAGACACCCGUCACGUCGAGAGAGUUAAGGCAAUGGACGGAUAAGGACUCAACACUCUCGAAGGUAAGAGAUCACAUUCUGUACGGUUGGCCUGGACAUAUAGCAGAGGAAACACUUCAGCCUUUUUUUAGAAGGAGGCACGAAUUAAGUGUCCAAGAUGGAAUAAUUUUGUGGGGAUCAAGAGUGGUGGUGCCUCAGAUAGCUAGAAAAAAUGUGUUGGCUGAGCUACAUGCAACGCAUCCAGGAGUCUCGCGCAUGAAAGGUAUUGCGCGUAGUCAUGUGUGGUGGCCCAAUAUAGAUAAAGAUGUUGAGUCAACAGUACAACUAUGUUCACAGUGCCAACAAGUGAGAAAUCUUCCCCCAGACGCUCCUUUGCAGCCAUGGGAGUGGCCACUAAAACCCUGGUCCAGGUUACAUUUGGAUUACGCUGGGCCGUUUAUGGGUGCAGUUGCUAGAUGGGAGGACUGUACGACGUCAUCUCGACUAUGUGAGGAGAAGAGUAAGCAUAGAGGGCGAGACGGUUAACGCAGAUGAUGCCAUACCACCUCCCAUGGACCUCACAAAUGGAGCAGGAAUUCAGAAACAUGGUUCGGCACCGGCAGGCAGCGUGUCGCCCCUAAAGGCAGGAGUUUCGAAGCAGUCCGGAGCACACAA